AUACUUACCUGACUGGUGCUCGACCGUGAUCAACAAGGCGGUUGACAUGAGCCGGAGCAGGCCUUCACGCACUCCGGUGCUGUAAUGGCUCAGGAGCACCCUCGGGUGUUUCCACAGUGCAAUUUUUGCCAGCGGGGGUGUGCGCGUGCGCCACCCCCAA
rfam:Aphanomyces invadans strain NJM9701 unplaced genomic scaffold supercont1.7, whole genome shotgun sequence.